ACCUAUAGGGUAUGUAAGUCUCGUCAUGUGACUUGCGAGAUUUCACGAUAUUUUGCACUUCCGGGUACAAACAAAUAUCAACAACAUUGCUUAUCUAUAUUGGGUAAUACUUGUAUGUCGGUGGGAAAGUAAAACUUACAUGGAAAAGCAAAUGAUAUGUGGAAAUUGGCAGAGUUUUUUGUUUUGUAACGAAAUGCAAAUGGUUUCAUCUUGUGAACAAGUAUCAAUGAAAGACAACUUCGUAUAAUCUUCAGAUAUUUUGACUGAGGACAGUGGUGAGAUGAAAGACGUCAGUAUCCAUUGUAAAUACACAUGCAUUCUCUGCUGUAAAAUCGUUUUGGUAUGUGAUUUCAUGGUUAGAUCUUGAGUACUUGUCAUGGCUCUUGAUUUAUUUUGGAGUGUUCACCAUCAGAUUAGACCACCAGGCAUAGUUGAAAGGAAAUGUCCAUACACAGUGUUGGAGUACAUAGUGGUAGAGACAUGGCAGUCCAUUACAGAUUUUGACUGAAUUAAAGCUUCUUAAAGCUCCAUGUCUUGUGUAAACUGUCUGACUGAAUGUUUGUAUUCUAAUAAAAACUAAGGUUGAAGACACUUCAAAGAUAUAUGUCAGUGUAAAAAUGUUAAACAAAAUAUCUGUCUUUAUUAGAAAUAAAUAACCUGUCUUUAUUAGAAAUAAAUAACCUGUCAUUUGUAA